rnacentral:lncRNA from 10 species
GUGUGUGGGGGCCACUCGCCAUGCACAGCUUCUCUCAGCAGAGGCUGACCAGAAUGGUGGUGAUAUGAAGAGUUGGGGAAUUCGACUUGAAUACAAAACAUAACACUGCUUUCACUUAAAAAGGUUGGUGAACCAUACUCCAACAGAAAGGGGACAUAAGACUGGCCAGAUAACGAAUUAAAAGAGGUAUUGUUGUGGACAGAAUGCUGGGUGAAUUGGAGACAUUCUCCCACUAACUUGCUGAUAAAUGAUCUGAACAGGGCUCUGCUGGAGUGAGGAAGCUGACUGAGGGAAGAACCAGAAGGCUGCCAAAAUACAAUUGUGUGCCUUUAAAGGAAAUAACAACAAGAAUUAGGAGCGCCCUGGAGGCAAGGUCUGCUGCUGGGGAAACCAAACCACAGUAACUUCAGAAAUAUAUACUUGGAAUAUGUCAUGUAUUAAUGGGUAAAGACACCGUGGAUAUGAAGGAAAUCACCUAUGGGAGAAUAUUAAGAAGAGAAGAAGGGGCUGCUGGCUGUAGUGAAAUGUAUAAAAAGGAGAGUGUGAUCCUAGUUUCUGUCUCUAACUAUGAGUUACUUGUGAUUAACUUCAAAUAUUCUCUCCAUAAGAAGAGGCCCAGAAGAAGAAGAUGAGCUUCAGUUAUUCUAGCACAACUGCUGUGAUAUUUGUAAAUAUUCAAAACCUAUAAUAAAAUGUAUAAAAGGAAACUCCAUUUGAAAUGAUUUGAAAUCUCACAUGGAAAUCUAUUUUUUUUAAAUCAGAGCUUAGUAAGAGAAAAUAACAGAACAUUGUAAUAAUUGAAUUACAAAAACAACUGAAUUUUGGAAAAUUUAUUUUCUCUCAUGUGAUGUGUGUGUAUGUGUGUGUGUGUGUGUGUGUAUCUAUUUAGCAAUGGCGUUAUUCUAUCAAAUGGGAUUAGAUUCAUUUUUGACUCCUGCUAAGCACCCUGUCCCCCCAACCCCAAGAUUAUGAAAGCGGAAGGGAAGGGGGAGAUAGGAAAUAUGACUUAUUUAAACUGUAUAAAAAUGCUGAAAUAAAAUGAACAUUCAAAACUCAUGUGAUUGAAUUUAAUCUUUCUUUUGUUCAACACAUUCAC